rnacentral:miRNA from 3 species
UCACAAGUUAGGGUCUCAGGGA